UACGUAGGGGGCAAGCGUUAUCCGGAAUCAUUGGGCGUAAAGCGCGUGUAGGCGGUUCCGUAAGUCCGCUCUGAAAGCCCAGGGCUCAACCCUGGGAGGCGGGUGGAUACUACGGAACUGGAGUACGGAAGAGGAGAUUGGAAUUCCGCGUGAGCAGUGAAAUGCGUAGAUAUGCGGAGGAACACCGAUGGCGAAGGCAAUCCCCUGGGCCUGCACUGACGCUCAUGCACGAAAGCGUGGGAGCAAACAGG
rnacentral:rRNA from 1 species